rnacentral:rRNA from 1 species
CGUGUAGGCGGCGGUCUUAGUCAGGCGUGAAAGCCCGAGGCUCAACCUCGGAAUAGCGCUUGAUACUGGAUUGCUUGAGACCGGAAGAGGGUAGUGGAAUUCCCAGUGUAGAGGUGAAAUUCGUAGAUAUUGGGAAGAACACCAGUGGCGAAGGCGGCUACCUGGUCCGGAUCUGACGCUGAGGCGCGAAAGCGUGGGGAGCAAACA